rnacentral:lncRNA from 1 species
CUUCCAGCACAACCAUCCUCCGUCGCCGUCACCCCCGCUUCCAGCACAACCAUCCUCCGUCGCUAUAAGAGGGGAGAGGGGGGUUGAAGCUCCGCUCCUACCCAGCUCCGCUCAAGCGGAUCUUCUCCGGAAGCCGUCUUUGACUUCUCCCCAUCCACUAUCUCCCAACCUUGGAGAGGACUUGAAGCUGCUCCCCUGCUCUACUGUAUAUAAAGCUACCAUUGUCCAGCGGAGGUAAGUCCUGGUCGCUGUCGCUGUGCCUUCACACCCUUAUUAGUUAUUAUUAUUACCAGUGUGGAGAAGCUAAUCCUCCGUGGCUGGGACGAGGAGAUGCGAUUAAACCCGUGUCUUGUUGAUUUUGCUGCCUGAUAGAAAUUCACCUGAAUGCCCGGGGUUGCUCAUGGUAUUGGUUCGGUUCAUCGUUGCUCAGAGAUCCAUUCCCCCGUUUCUUGGUUUCAUCUUUUCCUGCCACUGACCAGUGAUUCGUUAUCUGAAAACUUCUCAUGCACUAGUGCUCUCUUGGGUGUAUCUGGCUUAGAUCUGUGCACAAAUACUUGCUCCUUUUCUUUGGGCCUUGAUCUCCACAGGCUUCGCCGGUCGGGCUUCCUUGACCGAUUGGCUCCUUUUGCUGAGCUGACCCUUCGUACCUUACUAUCUUGGAUCCAGUGUCCCCUGUGUAACGAAUUAACGAUAACCACGGUAUAAGGGUCACAAGCUCUAUAGGACAAUUUUGUCGUAUCGUUUGAGGAUCUUCUUAGUGAGAAGCUAAAGGUCCCAAAGACUGGUCUGACGAAAAUGAAGACAUCAUCAGUAUAUGGAGGAACCUGAUAGGCUACCCCUCUUGUUAUUACCUGCGUGUUGACCACGUCAACAAGACCAUAACAAUGAAGGAUAACAUCGGGGAGAGAGGGGAUGUGCAAUUGCCUCACUGGACUGACUAUUCAACGAUACUCAAGAGUGUUUUUGAGGACAUCUGAACUGAACCUUCCUGACUCUACAGGCCAGAACCAUAGCAUAAUACCUGUCCGCGUCGCUCUCCUCGGCGACACGGACGGACCCUGACACCAAGCGUCGCUGCCCCCUCCCCCUCCUCCCUCACGCCUCGCCGCCGCCGGAGCUGCUCGCCGGAAGCCCGUGCGGCGGCGGGGCCAAAUCGCCCGCUCAAGGGCGCAUACGGCCGGAUCUGGACGGCGACCGACACAAGCGGAAGGUAGCAGCGAUGGCCGGCGAGCUUCGCAUGUGGAGGCCUCUCUACUACCGCACAUGGAGAUGGAGCAGGGCGAGGCAGCCCGGCAGCAGCUACGUGGAGGCGUGGCGCGUGGGAGUGCGUCGCGUGGAUCAGUGGUAGCGGCGCAUGGAGGUGGCGGUUGCGCUGCCGGACGACACACCGGAACUCACGUGCAGGGGCGGCGAGUGCGUGUGCGGCUAGGUGGAGUGGAGGCCGUGACCGGCGCGGCUCACUUCGCGGCACCAGAUCAAUGGUACCGCCGGGAUGGUUUUGGCGGCGGCUGCGACCCGGACAGCAGAUUCGGUGCCCUGGAGGCUACAUCUAGCGAGUGCGCAUGCGCAGAGUCAAGAAAGUGGCAACUGUGGAGUCAAUGAGGUGGCGGCGGCGAUGGCCGUGAGUGGAUGCGUCGGAAGGCGGCCAGCGGUGCGGCGGUCGUUCGUGCAAGUGCGUCUGCGGGUUUGGCGCAGCGCGAGGAGGCCGUAGUGGCACCAAGCGCGGAGCGGUGCCAACAAGGAUGUGCGCUCGAAGGCCACGAGGCGAGGCCAUGGCCGCGUGGUGCCGUGGCGAUGCGAGGUGUGCGGUGUGCCCGGUGUGGGUCUUGACAACAACCCGCGACGAGGAGGAUCUACGCUGGUGGUGGAGUGGUGUUGCUGUCGGCGUUCGACUAUGUGUUAGGUGGGUUGUGUGUAAACGCUAGCGACGACUUUGGGCGCCGUUCCCCUCCUUGGAGGCGUUGUCUUUGUGUUUUUGCACACCCCCUCCUUUGGUCGACGUUUGAUACAUAUCGCCAAGGUGAUGCUCCGAAAGCUUUAUGUCUGCGCACGUGGUGCAGCUGAGAUUCUGACGGUGUCAAGGUGGAGGUGAAGUUAGUGGAGUAGCUCGGUGGUACCAUGUCACUCCCGGCGGCAAAGCAAGUCUAAAUCCUUGGCAUGGAGUCCAGCGGCGGAAGUGGUGAGACCCCGUUCGCUUUAAGGUGAUGUGACCAAGGAGUGCUGUGCGGCGGUGGAUGUGGCGAGGGCCCCACACGUUCGAGUUGCCUUGGAGGGCUAGGACCUGAUGUGGUGUUUUGGUCGUUUGGUGUGUAUGGUGCUGCAGCGGUGCUUUUGGCGUUGGGUCUUGCAUAGCAGUGGCCUUUUCGGUGUGGUGCAGUGUGCUCUUCUUUUGACUUUUGUCGACACAAGGCUAAGGAUUGGGAGAUCGGCGACUAUGUGUGCGUGACCUGAGGACGACGGCGGCAUGGUGGAGGAGUAGUGGUAGCUGCACGGCUUGCAGCGGACUGCAGUGGCCAGUCCUGCGUGGCAGCGGUUGGUUCGACGUGGGACAUCGUCGGGGACAACAGCUGGUGAUGAUGGCUACUUGUCGGCUUUUUCUCCCGGGUUGUGGUGGUGCGGCGUAGUGGUCAGUGCUUGUCGAUGUCUCAAUCCGACCGGUCACAGAGCUUGUUUUGUUUUGAAUUGAGUUGAGUUCGGCGCAAUCUGUUGGGAGUUACCAUUGUUACUUUGUUGUACCCAAUCUAGGCUCAUUCUUCUUCUUAAUAUAAUCGGCAGCUCUCCUGCCUGGUUCGUUUAAAUAAAAAGUGUUUUUGAGGUACUCCUAGAUAGAAGGAUGCACAAGAGGCUGCACCAACGCCUACCAAAGCCGAUCAAGGUGAGAAAGACCACACGAUAGGGAGUCGAAUCUUUGGAGGCAUCCAGCUUGAUGAACCAUCUUGGCUCUUUUCUGUUAGGCAGGAGUUUCUGCUUGGCAGUCUGCUGCAGCAAGAGGAAGUUGUUGUGGAUUGGUGGAUGCAGUGGAACUCUGUUUGGAUAUGAUCUCAUAAGGUGGUGUUUGGGUUGUUUAUAGGGAUAUAAGCUUUGGGUUUACUCGACUUGGUUUCUGAUAGGUCUGUGCGAUCACAGGUAGCUGGUGCCAAAGAGGCAAACAUAGCACUGUGCAACAUCUCUUAGAAGUAGUUUGGAUGGAUAGUGCGACCAAGUACUGCUGUCCAUGCUAAUUGACGAAGUACCACCAAAUCUUGUUUUCAAAAAUAAUUUAUGAAGAUCAUGCCAGCCUUAUUUUUGUUGUGGACUCUUUUUACCACAAGUACUCGUAUAGCAGACGGAGGCCAAAGGAGUCCACAACGGCGCCGUCUACAAGUGGUUGAUUCGCCGCGCAACAGGAGGAGGAUUAGUUUGUUAGGAUUUGUUAUUUGGUUGUCAAUGGCCUGAUAUAUAAAGGUCUUAGCAGAUUGUUUAGGAAAUCAUCGAAGGAAUAAACUCUCUCCCGUUUGGGGCGUGAGUUGUUCUUCGACGGUAGAACGUACCUUUCCUCGGCUGCCGGCGACAACAGCUCGCCGCUGCAUUAUUUGCUUCGCUCAACCACCCAAGCUCAUCUCUUUCUGCGUUCUCCUCACCGACGCCAACGCCAUAUCAAUUUUACACAAUGUUUCAAACAUAUAAAUUAUCAUCAGGGAGGAAGAUCCUCAUUGGACCAUAUUUGGGAUUUAGUAGUGUAGCUGUACUGCUGUAGUCGCAACUUGCAAGUCCAAACACACUUCAAAAAUGAACAAAGUUGAAUUUCUAAGGGAAGAGGUUAUCCAUCAGCAUUAGUGAUUCUAUCCACUAUCCAUUAUUUCCAAUGUUGUGACCAAGCUGAAUAAAAAUUCUCAACAAAUUAUUUUGCUUUCCAGAUCAUUACAUAUCAUACUCAUCCAAACUAAUGUCUGCAUUUCAGAUUUUUCUGAAGAACACCUUGUCACCGGCAAUCUGCGCUGUCUGUUAUGGUCGACGGAAGUAUCUAGGUAUUGCUCACCACCACCACUAAUAACUCCUCAGAGAAGCGGCUAGUAUGACUUCAAAACAGCUGAAGGACAUGGAUGAAGCCCUGCUCGAACAGCAUGAAACCCGGCCAGCACCGAAGGACCGUGAAAGCCAUGGCCCCUCAUUGCUUACUUUGACUGGCUUUGGAUUCCUGACUUUCAACUCGGGAAUGGCGGUUUACAGGUCGAAUGGAGACUUGUCAGCGAUCUCUUUUGUGGGCUUUUCCUACCUGGUCCUCGUUAUGCUCUUCUACUGCGUGCGUUGCUAUGAGAGGACACCCGCAGAGUCACCCCGUCGGGAACAACUGAAGAUGGCAGUGUGGCUUCUCACCACAAUGCUCACUGCUGCUUUCUCAUACAAGGUGGCUGCAAUCAUGCCGUUCCCAUUGCAGGUACUAGUGUGGGCCAUGGCUGGCGCGACCAUCCUUGGUGGUUUCUAUGCCUUCUUCCUGCAUGAGGAGGGCACAAAGGCAUAAUCAGGUAUAACUAUAAUUGAUCCCUUGCUUUGAUUCUUCUGUCAAAAGAAAUUAACCAUGCAUCAUUUUUUCAACCUAGAAUCUUCCGACUUCUUAUUCUCUCUAUAUAAAACCGCACUCCACCAUGAGGUACCGUGGUGUGCCGAGAUUUCAGCCAGACUGUGCAAUGCCGCUAUCUGCACGGAUAGGGUUGGUCAGUUGAAUCCAUACAAAGAUUAGAUUUUAGUUGCAGCAAAGGCACACCAGCACAUUUAUGGGGAAUGAAAGGUCAAGCUGGUCAUGAUCAUUGCAAUCUAUGAAUUGGGCAUGGAUCCGCUCACCUGCCUCCAGAUCUAGGGAAGUAUUCAUGGCUGCAUGAGAUGUGGAUCAGCAUCUGUGAAAGGUGAACGGUAGGAAUUGCACCCGAGAUCAGUUGUUCCACCUGCUACAACGAAUCACUGUACUCAGACUGAUGGGCAUUACACAAUAAAAAAUGAGAGGGAAUGAAGCAUAAAGCACGUAUUACAUUGCAGGAUUGGACCAUAUAUACUGUAUUCCAAUCGAUUCAGGAUUGGACCCAGUAAGCAAAGAUUUUGGCAUGAUCUGUCUCCAUGACACUAGUCUUACAUUGCAGUAUUGCACCACUAAAUUUCACCUCGACAACUGCCUCGACUGAAGAAGCAUCAAUUGUGCAAACGCCUAAUUCCAUUACUAGGGGUAUAUGGUGAACAAUACUGUGGUCAGGCAAUCAGCCUCGCAGCCAGAGCCCAAUCAACUAAAAUCGAGACAAUGACAGGACUUGACAUGUAACAAUGUUUGAAACAUGAUUAGGUCCAUGCCCUGUUUGGAACACCUGAACUUCGCAUAGGAUUUCUGCGGGAAUCAUAAGUGAAAUUGUUAUUUUCCAAGUGCUGCCUCGUCGCUGCAUUUUUGUGCUCCAGUCUUUUCCCACGUCACUUGCACAAAUUGCAUUGGCAUCCACACUGCAGCUGCAGAUUACUCCUACCCCCUGCUCAUAUUUUGGAAGAAAAUGCAUGUUUCUGAUCAGCAGGCUAACUCUUAACUCUGGUUCAC